rnacentral:lncRNA from 1 species
AAUCAAAUAUAAAUGUGUAGUGUUGGACUAUCUGAUGCCCGCAGAAUGUGUCAAGCAGAUAUAAGAGUGUCGCUAUAAACUGUAUGGAUACUGGAAUAGUGCGCCAAGAUGGGAUAAAGAGCUUUUGACAUUGUGGACUCUCUGGUGCCUGCACAACUUGCCAAGCAAAUAUAAGUUGUGACGCCAAAGAUUGUCUGGUGCCGCAUUGUGCACCAAGCGUAGAUACAGGUUGCAUAAGUUUCGGGAAUGUUGUAUGAGGUGCAUGACUUGUAAAGUAAUUUUUAUGAUUUGUAAUUAUGAAGUUUGAUGCCUUGUUUGCACUAGGUUGACUAAUGUUAAAGGCAUAUUAUGUUUCAAAGAAACUACAACACAACAUACCUAGUAUAUUCCCACAAGUGGAAUUAAGGAGAAUAGUAUGUACGCAAUCCUUAACUCUACCUUGCAACUCUUUUCAUAAUUUUUUACACAUUUAUGACUUUAGAACUAAUGUCUCCAUAUGAAAUAUUCAAGUUUUCUAAAUUUAUAAUCUUUCUUACAAAUGCAUGUUUUUUCUUAAGACUUGUCCCAACUUUUAGAGGCAGAUCUAUCAGAUUUGCUGAGUAUACUCCGUCCAUCUACCUUCAAGUCUUACAGAUUCGGUUGACAUCUCCAUUUACGAGGCUUGAGCACCACUAGAUAGAUUUUUUACGGUGAGCACCACACUAGAUUGGUGGUGGCUUCCUUUGAUAUUUCUACCUUUACUUAUUGACGGGCUAUAUCCAGUUUCGGUUUAUGUAUAACGUUAUUCAUUAGAAGCUCCAUGCUUUACUGUGGAUUGAUGUGUAAGUACUUGGACCAUAAAUAGAUUGUAUAUCUCGUCAAGGCUUAAUUCAGAUAUGUGUUGUUUUCGCUUCAAUGGGAAGUUAUGCUUCAUUUAGCUGACGCAUGACAAUGUGGGAUCGCUUGGAACCCCAAUGUAUGCAAUAUGGGUAGUUGAUACAACAACAUUAAGUGCUCUCUCUGCAGACGCUGGCUCAUCGCGCGCCAUUCAUGGCCCUCCAGAUUUCGAUCGUGACAAAAUGUUAGUGCCGAUCAUUUACAACAAGUAUAAUAAGUGGCUUUAUCCAUCCUAAACAAGAGGUAUGAAAUUUCCUCAAAGAAGGAGUACAUAAGUUUAAAAAAUUUGAAUGCUUACUCUUCGAAACAUCACUUUCCUCUCCCAAAUAGCAAGGUGAGGAGUUCCAAUACUUCUGUAACUUAUGAGUGCCAAAUUGCCAGUGUUGUCCUUUCAGUGACACGUGCCGCAUUACCUAUGUUCUCAAUUUCCUGCAAAUGGUAGAAAGGCCAAAAUUGUGUUAGCUGCAAAUCGACUGACCAACCAUAGCAAGCUAAAUUAAUAACAUAUUCAAUCUUUCUUCUUAAUUAACUUAAAAUAGCAAGAGAUCUAUAUAUAUCAACCUUAAUUGUUAAUCUCAGCUGACAUACUGACAUUAAUCAGUUCAGAUUAAAUCUGCCAAAAGAAUUAUGUGUCAGAUUAACUCAACUAAACUACCCGCGGACAUGACCUAAACAUCCAGUAACCAUAGGACACAUUAAUCAGACCUUACAUCAAAUUCUUUUAACUCGACUAUAAAAUAUACCGUGUAAUACCAGAGCAGAAAGAAUCUUCUUAUGUCAAAUCCACAUGCACUAUAGAUCAAUUGUUAAUGUAGAUCUGUCUUAAAUAGUUAAUAGGGGACAAAAGUGCAACUAAAAUGAAUUUAAUUGACAAGGAAAAAGGAAAUUCAUUGGGCUAAACAAUUGUCCAAUAUACCAAUGUGUAAAAGUUCAAACAAUAUUAAUAUGCAAAUAAUGUAGAAGGAUACUUCUACAGUAUUAAAAGGCUGCCAUAUUACACCCGUUGAUAGGCAAUGAAGAAAACCAUUUUUACACUUGCAUAGAAAGAGAGGAAAUUUUGUCCAUAUCUUCUCCUAAAAGUGGUGCUAUAAAGUGCUGACCAGCCAGUACAGCGACCAAUUUUGUAUUCGUCCUUCGGAUGCUAUUGGAGCAUAAUACUCCAUAUGUAUUAAGUGAAAAUACAGACAAAUUCUUCUAAGAAUACAGCUUUUGAAUGGUUGAAACUACAUAAAAGCUACCAAAAAAAAUCUAUAUUUUACAUGCUUGUUUGAUGAGGAAUUAUUAAUUGACAAAACACGAGGACAUACGUUCAAAUUAGGUUGGGGGAUUAUGUUAGCUCGUUAAAGGACUAUAGAUCUUUUAUAUUGUGAUUUUGUUAGUAGUAAUAAUAUAUGAUGCAACUCCUUAACUUUUCCAUGAAUUUAUUCCAGGUAUUCCGGAUAUUUAUUUUGAUGAAGGUGUUCUAGAUAUUUAUAGUCACAUUAUGUACUUCAAACAUCAAAACGGGCAUUAUGUGUCAGACAUUUUUCUAUUUAUCAUCAUAUAAACUCUCAUAAUUGGCUGAGUGCAUUUUUUGAGCACAACAUCAUUGCAAGCGCUAAAUCUCCUUUGAUUAACUUCAAUAUGAGAAAACAUUCCUUUCUAAAACCUUUUUCCCAUCCGUUUACAAAGUUCAGUCUUUGUGUUAGCACGCAUUUUUACAGCUUCAAAAGUUGGAAAAUCUUACUCAUUUCCCAAGACCAAUGUAUUAGUAAUCAACUAUGCCUCAAUCCUAGAUUAGUUGUGUCCAUUAUAUGAUCCAUACGGUUUUCUUAACAUGGUAUACAAGAUCAUUCAUUAAAGUUCAAUAUUUUAUCUAACAGUAUCACAACCCUCGUCCUUUAACCGAACUUGUGAUCUCCUUAAGCAAUGUACCAUAAUUUGUGUGAAGAAUAUCGCAUAAAUAAGCCAAAGGAGUUCACUUAUAGGGAAAAGUUCAAAUGGAACUUGCUUAGUUGGUCGAAAACUGCCACCUCCAAAUCGAACCCUCUAUCGGGGCCUGUACAAAAGAUUAAUACGGCAUUACCCGGCUCUAGGGUAGCCCAGACACCACUGAGUGGUAUUGUACUGGGUCGUACUUUUUUUCUUUUACCCGGCUCUAGGGUAAGGCAAGUGAAGCCUUUACCUUAGGCCCCAAAUAUUUAAGGCCCCUAAAAUAUGAAACACUACUAGUCCCUCCUAAUUAUAUGAAUCCGUUUGAUUGGGCACUGAAUUUAAAGAUUUUUGUAAUUUGUGGUCCUAAACAAGUUAAAAAAAGACCCACAUUAUUUGUAUGGUUAUAAAAGCUUUUCAUUAAAGGUAGAAUUGUAAGUAUAAGCUAAACUGUUAUUAAAUUAAGAAAGAGGUCAUUAUUGUUGGAACGGAUCAAAAAGAAAAUAGGUUCACGUAAACGAGAACAGAUGGACUAUAUUAUUAUAUAAUAUAAAUUCCAUAAUUCUCUUAUUUUUAAAAUUUGGUAGAAGUAGGACUGAGUGACUUAAAAAAAAAUUCUCUUACUAAAUUAAUCAACAUAUUUACCUUCUCAUCAUUCUAUUUUUCUUCCUUUAUGUAUAAUUUUUUUUAUGUUUCUCAUGAUUUUACUUUCUAAUUUCAAUUCAAAUUCUUUAAAUUAGCUAUUCUUUUUGGUCAUAUUUGAUUGAUUCACACACCAGAAAGUAGAUUUUUUUGUGUCUCAUCUUUUUUAACUAAGAUAUCCCCGAGACAAAUAUCACAAAACUCAAAACACGAUGGAUAAUGGGCUCACCCUUUUACCAUUUUUACUUAGGGUAAGAAUUCAAUAGCAUAUGAUGCGCGCCUAACCCGUACAUCUUGAGAUGCGCUCUCACCACUAGAUCAAAAUCAUGUAGGUUAUUUUUUGUGUCUCAAUAUUUAUAGAGUUCAUAAAAGAAGUUCCAGGGUCGUUUAAUAUAUUUUGCUUUUAGGCCACCGAUUCUGUUGAGCCGCCCCUCAUUAAUGAUCAACAAUUAUUUACGGACUACUGUCCCACCAUGAACGUGUGGUUCAACCAAUUUUAUUCAUAUUUGGUAACUUAAUGACACAUUCAGUGCCUUUAAUAUUCUUGUUAUUGUUGUUUUAUCUUAAUUAACACUCUAUAAAUUUGAUUGAGAAUGUUAGGGAUGGACUAGUGAAUCUAGUAGGAGACUCGUAAAGCAAACUAUAAAAGACAAGUAUGAAAAAAAUGGCAAGACUAAUUCUUUUGCAUAUAUGUGUAUACAUACUAUAAAAAAGUAUAAGGCAUCUUAUUCAAAUUUGGCUUUAUAAUACUAAUUUUAUGAAGCCGCCCUGGGUCAUUACCCAAAAAAAAAAAAAGUAAAUACACCACAAAUCUUUUGUUGCUUAAUAGGAUAAAUGUUAGUAGUGAUAUAUAUGGUUCACUCCGAGACGAUUUUUUCGUUAAAAAAAAAAGAAAAAUUUUAAUAAGGAAGAAGAAUAAAACAAUGUAAACCAAUUCACCAAUAAUUGAAAUGAACAAAGUUUUUUAAUUACAUCCUUAUAUAGACAGGCGUAGUAGAUGAGAAAAUCAGAGUGAUAAAAAACAAAGAAGCUCCCAAAAUUACUGCUAUAAAGCAUUGGAAAUUUCAUUCGCGAACAAACAGUGACAAUUUAUAAUCUAUGAACCCAACGCAAAUAAACAUAGAUAGCACAAAGCAAGAGUAUAAUGAGAAACUUACACAGGAGUAGCAAUUUCU